CCGCUCAGCGCCGUGCCCGGCUCAGCUCUACGACUGCGGCGACUCCGUGGGCCGCGAGCGCUGCGUGCCGCUCAGCUGGCGCUGCGAU
rnacentral:lncRNA from 1 species